rnacentral:lncRNA from 1 species
AAUAAGCAAUGCUUGUUACUUAUUAAAAACUUUUUAAACCCAGAAAAGCAUAAAGAAGACUAGUAAACCUUUAAUUUCAUCAGAGAUUAGUACAUGUUUAAAGUCUCCCUUUUCUUUCCUAUACACAAACAUCAUAUAUAAACAGUAAAUAUCAGUUUAAACAGCUGGACAUGUUAUAAAGAGUCAGACCUGGUGUUAAACUGGCCUGGUUGAAGAAAGGCCAAAUUACAAGCAGUGGGAACUCCCCGCCCUUAAAAGGGGGCCUGGCUGCCUCUUGGCUUAAUGAACUAAUUAUUCUUGUCUGCAAAGAAACUGUUUUCCUCUUUGCCUGGGGUUACAUAAGUGAAAGUGCAUAGCUAAAUUGCACAGCUAAAGCUACUUUGCUAGGGGCAAGUAGGUGGCAGUGGUUAGUGGGUCUGCUGUGGAAAGAAAAAUUGGUCUCAAUGUAGACUUUGAAUAGCUGGAAGACUCAGAGUUCCUCCCUAUGCAGUGUAGCUCUGCCUCCACCCUUUGCACCUGAUCCCAUGCUUUUUCCUGCUGCUGUGUGACUCAUCAGGUGCGAGUCUCUUGUCUCCAAGGCUAGGUUGUAAAUUAUCAACAGCAGGAAUGCUCUCAAGGGCUUUGCACCUUUUCCCUUCACUUGGCAGAGUGCAAAGUCCCUUAGAUCAUUGCCUUUGUCUUUUUUUUUUUUUCCCCUCAACAUGCUUCAUAUAAUCAUGUUGCUAGUUUGUCAGAGAGAAGGGCACAAGAGAAGCAAAACUUGUCAUAGAGCUUCAGGACAAGCUGUUGCCCACCUUCCCCUUACUUCUGCUGACUGGGACCCCCAAACAAGACCACUUUUUAUGAGUUAGUAACUUUUAUUUAAUGAUUGGUCAUGUUCUUUCC